GUACUCCCUUUGGCGGCACGUAUAAAAUUGGGAUAAUGCAGAGAAGACAAGCAUGGCUCCUGUACGAGGAUGACACACAAAUUCAUGAAAUGCUCCAUAUCAGA
ensembl:snRNA U6 U6 spliceosomal RNA